AAAACUUUUAUUUUAUUCUGAUUGUGUAAAGUGUAGUAUCUGUUCUUAUCAGCUUAAUAUCUGAUACGCCCCGCAUGCGGGGCCAGUAUAUUAAACUUAUUUUUGGAAAUUGAUGGAGGGUUUAAGGGGCUUGCUCCACCUCCGUCGCGGGUUGGCCCGGUAUUGCAGUACCGCCGGGAUCGGCCCAUUUUAU
rnacentral:snRNA from 1 species